GAUCAAGAGUUUCCUGUCUAGGUUGUGGCUCGGUGUCUUCUUGACUUCGAGAAGCCUGACUUCCACUGACCAUGUAAGUAUAUCCGGGAAUAGCAUGUAAAUGUGCUACAUGCGUCAUGCCAUUUGAAACAACGCCAUCGCUCCUCUGGAAAGUCUUGUGAUAUGAAAUGUUGAACUGCUUGGUGCCAUCAGAUGAAUGAGGAACAUCAGCACUAGAAGAGCUCUGACUCCUUUCAGAUGUCAUGCCAUUUGAUACAACGCCAUCGCUCCUCUGGGAAGUCUUGUGAUAUGAAAUGUUGAACUGCUUGACGCCAUUGGAUGAAUGAGGAACAUCAGCACUAGAAGAGCUCUGACUCCUUUCAGAAAAAGCAGAA
rnacentral:lncRNA from 1 species